rnacentral:tRNA from 3 species
GCCCCCGUAGCUCAGUUGGUAGAGCAUUCGAUUCGUAAUCGAAAGGUAGGCGGUUCGAGACCGCCCGGGGGCUCCA